AACGCUGGCGGCGUGCCUAAUACAUGCAAGUCGAGCGAACAGACGAGGAGCUUGCUCCUCUGACGUUAGCGGCGGACGGGUGAGUAACACGUGGAUAACCUACCUAUAAGACUGGGAUAACUUCGGGAAACCGGAGCUAAUACCGGAUAAUAUAUUGAACCGCAUGGUUCAAUAGUGAAAGACGGUUUUGCUGUCACUUAUAGAUGGAUCCGCGCCGCAUUAGCUAGUUGGUAAGGUAACGGCUUACCAAGGCAACGAUGCGUAGCCGACCUGAGAGGGUGAUCGGCCACACUGGAACUGAGACACGGUCCAGACUCCUACGGGAGGCAGCAGUAGGGAAUCUUCCGCAAUGGGCGAAAGCCUGACGGAGCAACGCCGCGUGAGUGAUGAAGGUCUUCGGAUCGUAAAACUCUGUUAUUAGGGAAGAACAAAUGUGUAAGUAACUAUGCACGUCUUGACGGUACCUAAUCAGAAAGCCACGGCUAACUACGUGCCAGCAGCCGCGGUAAUACGUAGGUGGCAAGCGUUAUCCGGAAUUAUUGGGCGUAAAGCGCGCGUAGGCGGUUUUUUAAGUCUGAUGUGAAAGCCCACGGCUCAACCGUGGAGGGUCAUUGGAAACUGGAAAACUUGAGUGCAGAAGAGGAAAGUGGAAUUCCAUGUGUAGCGGUGAAAUGCGCAGAGAUAUGGAGGAACACCAGUGGCGAAGGCGACUUUCUGGUCUGUAACUGACGCUGAUGUGCGAAAGCGUGGGGAUCAAACAGGAUUAGAUACCCUGGUAGUCCACGCCGUAAACGAUGAGUGCUAAGUGUUAGGGGGUUUCCGCCCCUUAGUGCUGCAGCUAACGCAUUAAGCACUCCGCCUGGGG
rnacentral:rRNA from 1 species